rnacentral:lncRNA from 1 species
UCAUUUGCAUUUGCAAGUCAUACCACUAAAAUUCAGAAGUAUAAAAACUUAUUUUAUUAAAAUAAUUAGGCAUUUUUGCUGAAUGGAGUUAUCCAGAAAUUAUUUAUUCUGAAAUAAUGAAUUAGGUCAGAGUUAUUUUCAACUACAAGUGCAUGGUUUGUUCCAUAUUUUUUUGUUUUAACAUUUUGAAUUAUUCUGCUAAUAAAUGAAAUAGCAAAACAGUACAUGAAAAUUUAUAUUUGAAGUUUCUCAAUGGAAAAGGAACCCAAAUUAACAUGGGAAACUCAAUUACAACUUUUAAAUAAUAUAUUAGGACUCAGGAUCCUGAUUAAAACCAAAAAGGUCUCAUAUGAUAGGAAUAGCAUAGUUGGUGCUUUAAGUUUCCCCUUUAAAAUAACAUAACAAUGACAUUAAUCUAAAAGGUUAAAUGUCAUCAUUGAGUAAAAGAGCACAAAAAUAUCUCACAUAGUCAUGGCUACGUGCUGCACUGAUACAUUUCUUUAGCUAUUUUAGAAUCUGAACUUAUGACUGGGUCAUUUUCUGAUACUUAUUUGUAGAUUAAUUAAGGGGAAAAAUCAAAUGCAAAACUGCUUUUAAAUGUAUAAUACCUUUUAAUAAAAUCAAUUCUACCUGAAUUCUGGGGUAUUAAAUAUGUUUUCAUGGUGUAUCAAACAUUUGCUUUUCUUAAGUGUCUCCGUGAUGGAAAUUGCUUUGGUUGAAACUGAAGUUGUCUUAAUUUACAUAUGUAAGCAUAGACAUCUUGUAAAAAAGAAGACUCAAAAAGGGAUUGACUUAAUUUCUAACACGCAUCCUCCACCCACACAGAGGAACACAGAGAGUCGAGUGACCUCGGGACUUGCCUGAGACACCAAGGCAUCAUCUGAACUAGGCAUGCAUCCUUCUCCAUCAAUAAGAUCAUUAUUCAAGGCACAGAUGUGCCUCCAACAUUGUCUGUCUGCCUCCAAAUCAAUUCAAUGCUCCUGCAGCCGCAAUCUUCCCUGAACUCUUGGAAAUGUGGCCCAAAGAUGGAUGUAAAUCACACCAUUUACUAAUGCUAAGAAAAGAUCUUGCUAUGGUGUCUGUUGGAGUUAAUAUAUAUUAGGCAUCUCAUUUAGGGAUGCUUGCCAGAGCAACACUGUAGGUAAGGUUAUGACAUGAAAAGUCUAGAACUAGUUUAUAUUUGCCAAUAUUGGGCUGUUUUGGGGGGAAAGAGGCAGAGAAGAGGAAGCUGUUUGCAAAAAUAGACUAUUUCAUUCUACCAGACAGGCUCAAGGAGAAGUCUUAAGCACAUCUUGUAACAUUCUGUGUGGAGACCACUGGGGGAAGAGAGAUGAGAUAACCAAACUCAGCACCAACUUUCAAAGACACAGAGGUCAACAGAGGUAAUAAAACAAAAAUUGCAAACCAUCAACUUUACCACUCAAGGAUUAUUGGGUAAAGCUGAAUUCAAAACUCAUUCUCUAUUCUCUUUCUGAAAACCAUCUUGGAAACAGAAAAAAAGCAAUUCAUGGUGAGUUCGAUGGGCUUAGUACACAUGAAAUAAUUCUGCUUUUCUUAAUUCCCUAAGGGCUAAUUUAUCCCUUAUCAUUACCCCAACGUUUACUUUUCCAACCAGAAUCUUGCCUGUUGUGGGUUUCUAUAUAAUGAAUUCAGUCUGUGCUGAGGGUAAAUGUAGGUCAGUCUUAUAGAAAGCUGCAUUAUUUAUAAUAGUGGUAUAAUCACGGAUCCAUAAUCUGUCAAUUAUUUAUUGGUGAUUACCAUAAUGUGCCAAUCACUUUUCUGUGGAGUGAAAUACUUUACAUAAAGAAAUAUAUUUUCUGAAUAACUGAUUCCUCUACUUCUUGACCCCUUUCUAUCAACUAUAUUUAAAGGAUUAGUAGUCCCUGAGAUGUAAAUAAUAAUGUAUGUUGCAAGCAAAUUCUGAUUUAAGUAUAUUACUUAUCAAAUAGAUGGCAUGCAAUAUAACAGUUAAGAAUAAUACUUCAAGCAUCAUGUGCAAUAGUUUCCUAUUUGUAAAUAUAUGUAAUAUAUUUCAGGUAAAUAUAUGUUGAUUUACCUGAAAUACUUGAAUUAGUAUUAUUAAAUUAUUAUGGUUUCAUGUCAACUUGAGAUAUUUUUCUGAAGGAAAACAAACAAACAAAAAAUAAAAUUCAAGAUCAAGCUAUCACGCUAUAACCCCAAAGUCUUUAAAAUAUUAAGUCUGACAAAUCAUAAUAUUCCUCAUGCCACUUACAGCAUGUCAAAAUAGUUAACGCUGAUAGGAAAUCAACAUCUGGCUUUUGAUUUAAAUUUUAUAUGUAGCAGCUGCUAAAUGCCAAUGAAUCAUGCUGCCAGCAGAUGACAUUCUAUGUAUAACAUCCACCCAGUCUCCAUCUCCAUAUAAAUAAUAAACUUUAUAUGAGAUUUCAAACCAUUCUAGCUUUCUGUAUGAAACAUCCACUACGGAGAUGAUGAAAGAAUGACAGUGUCCUUUUCAGAAACACAUAGAUUUUAGCAAGUUAACAUUAUUGUACAGAAACUAGAGAAAUGCUUUCUUUACGAUGGGGGUUCAGCAUGAGAUGAUUUUUGGAAAACAUAUAGUAGACUAAAAUAAACUGAUUUAGAAAUCUAGAGAUUAACAUCAAUACAAAAGGAGAAAAGAUAAGAUUAAGAAUUUUCUGACAUAUCACCUCUUUACAAUAUUAUCAAGUUUGGAUCCAAGUAAAUGGAAGAUAAUUUUACAUUAUCCUCUGAUUUCUUAGGAGUUGAAAAGACAAUUAGCAUUCCAGGGAGUGGUAGAAAUUUUUCAAAUUAAGUGUUCUGCCCAAACUGGAAGCCAGCCAAGCUGUUCUCUAAAAAUAUCAAUUUAAACUACUGUUUUCUAAAAUAGUGGAAAGAAGAUUUUGUCUCCUGGAUUUAGAUAAUUCCCAUGUUCCUAAACUACUUUUCACAUUUGAGCUUAUGCAGGUAAAAGAAGAGUAGUGAUGGAGUUCCUGUCAUGGAGCAGCGGAAAUGAAUCCAACUAGGAACCAUGAGAUUGCAGGUUAGAUCCCUGGCCUUGCUCAGUGGGUUAAGGAUCCAGUGCUGCCAUGAGCUAUGGUAUAGGUUGCAGAUGCGGCUCAGAUCUAGCAUUGCUGUGGCUGUGGUGUAGGCCAGCAGCUACAGCUCUGAUUUGACCCCUAGACUGGGAAUCUCCAAAUGCCACAGGUGAGGCCCUAAAAAGCAAAAAAAAAAAAAAAAGAGAGAAAGAGAGAAGAAUAGCAAGAUGCUGAAGUAUUGGUGUUUCCCCACAUCUUUUGUUUUUUUCAAUCUCUUCAAGUGCUUGUUGAAGGCAAUGAAUAAACUCUGUACCUUGGGCAACACCCUAGGAUGUUUUCACUGAAUGAUACUUAACAUCAAAUACAUCAUGUUAUUGUUGGUUUUGUGUAAUUUUAAUUCUGAAACCAUUUCACUUCCAUUUGAUAAAAAUCCACGAAUUCUGAGUGAACACUAUUACAGUGGUUUUGAUUUUUGUCUCAGUAUAGGAGGUAGCCUGGGGGAAGAUUGCCAACUGAAAGUAUAUUUUACAUCAUUGAAAAGGUAUCCUUGUAAGGAUUUUUAUAAAACCAUGUUCAAUGAAGCAAAACUACGAUAGUGUGGAUUUUCCCCAUAAUCAUACUUCAGCAUGAUCACUGAACAUCACUUCAAUAAGCAAAUAGGUAGAACUAUAGAUAAAAGUACAGGCCAUGGUCUACACCUUGUAACACUGUCUAUCUGUACACUGAUAAUGAUACAGAUAAUGAACAGAGUUUGCCUCACCUUACUAAUUCAAAGGAAAUAUUUAUGCAUCUUUUCUUACUUAACUAGGAAAAUGAUUCUCAAAUUCAGAUUUUAAGUGGCAACUUCAGUUAGGGUUAAUUGCAUACAAAAGUUCGUUGCAAAUCAACUAUGUACCCCUUUUAUCUACAACUUCCAAUGUCCCACGAGCUACCUCAUGGUAACUAUUGUCAGUGGAAACCUCCUCUUCCUACAUUAGGGUUGAGCUUCUGAAGCAGGGCCAAAGUGCCAAUAUUCUCCUUUCCCAUCCAUGUUUCCAAUCCUGUUUACAGUAGAAACACAACAUAAAAUAGUAUUUCUCCAGAUAGCUUCAAUAGAAGAAAGUAGUUAUUAACAGUUUGUGUUUUAAAAAAUAUCUUUGUUGAGGAUUUUUCUUGGAGAGUGAAGUAUUCAUUGAGUACACUUUUAUUUUUUAAUUUAUUUUUUAAAUUCCCCAAAAUUAAAGGGUAGUUGAUUUAUAGAGUUGUACCAAUUUAUGUGGUACAGGAUAGUAAUACAUAUAUUCAUAAAAUAUGUAUAUAAAAAUGUACAUAUAUAUAUGUAUAUAGACACAUACAUUCCCUUUCUUACAUUAUGUCCCAUCAUUUUCUAUCCUAAGAGAUUGAGUAUAUUUCCCUGGCUGCUUAGUAGAAUCUCAUUGCUCAUCCACUCUAAAUAUAACAGUUUGCAUCUACAAACCCCAAACUCUGAGUUGAUGCCACUCCCUCCCCCUUGGCAACCACAAAUCUGUUCUCUGUGCCUGUGAAUUGGUUCAUUGGAAUAUUACUCAGUCAUAAAAAAAGAACAAAAUAAUGCCAUUUGCAGCAACAUGGAUGCAAACAGAGAUUAUUAUACUAAGUGAGGUAAGUCAGAAAGAGAAAGACAAAUACCAUAUGAUAUCACUUACAUGUGGAAUCUAAAAUUUGGCACAAAUGAACCUAUCUCCAAAACAAAUCGACUUACAGAUACAGUACACUUUUAUUGAAAAUUCACAAACUAUGUGCUGAAUUUCUGGCACUAGGUCCUUCAUGUUUAAUUAACAAGCUGUCUCUGGAGUUCCCAUUGUGGCGCAGUGGUUAACGAAUCUGACUAGGAAUCAUACGGUUGCUGGUUCGAUCCCUGUCCUGGCUCAGUGGGUUAAGGACCAGCAUUGCUGUGAGCUGUGGUGUAGGUUGCAGACGUGGCUUGGAUCCAGCAUUGCUGUGGCUCUGGUGUAGGCUGGCAGCAACAGCUCCGAUUAGAUACCUAGCCUGGGAACCACCAUAUGCAGCGAGAGUGGCCCGAGAAAUGGCAAAAAGACCAAAAAAGAAAAAAGAAAAAACUGUCUCCUUUGGCAGGUGUACAGAUAUUACAGAUAUAUGGGACACACAUACACAGGCUAACAUCUGGAGUUAAAUGAGAUUUCGCCCUUACAUUCAGGUAUUACAUAUGCAUGAGAGGCCUUUCUGUCCUCUGAUUAAAAUGGAAAUAAUACCAAAUCAAUGAUGCACUUGGAAAGAGUACUUGAGAAAUGCCAUUACAUCUCUUGACACAGUAAUUCGCCCAAGGUGGGCACUGAUAAAUCACAUCUAUUUUAACUAAGGCUACAGGGGAAGCCCCAGCUGAUGGCUUCUGACGUCAUCCCUGCAAUUGCUCUACAUGCCUUUGGCUCUUUCUCCUUUCCACUCUAUAUUCUACACAGAUGAGAAACUAAUGUGCUUCAGAGAUUUCCUCAUGUCACUUUUUUCUCUCAUAAGUGAACACCAUCUUACUUCUUUCAAUGCAUCUCUUUUGAACCAGAUAAGACCUCAUCUCCAUUAAGAUCAAUAUCCUCAUUGGCCACCAAACCUGCAGAAUCAUCAGUUUUAGUUCAUCCUGUUUUCUUGCUUCAAAUAAGAUUCCCUCUCUGCCUUCUGUUUCCACACCUACCCACCUUGAAUGCCCCUUUAUAAUUCUGUCUAGUUUUAAAACCAUCCCCAAACACUUUCCAUCUCACAAUUUUCAUAUUUGGACUUUCCUAAUUAAUGACCUCUUCAUCUCCUGACUCUUAUUUCAUUCAGUACCUUAUUGGUUAGUGCAUACUUGACAGGCAAUCAUUUUGACUUUUCAAAGCUUAUGAACUCCGGAGAAGAUGUUUUGUCUUCAGUUUCUUUAUAUAUUUCAGGGUACUGCCUCCUAACUUGAAGACCACUCAUACCCUCAGAGACACUAAAAGACCUUCCAGCUGACACAAAGGAGAACUUUAAGAGGAUCAGGAUCUCUAUCCUUCCAUAAAUAUUCAUCCUCAAUUAGACUGUCCUGAUAAAGAGCUAUAAUCUGAGUACCCUGCAAAUAUUUUUUCGUUAUCUUUAAUUUUUUUUCUUGUGUUUACAAAAGAAAGGCAUAUCUCUCACCUACAAUGAUGGGUCUAUAUGUGGAAAACAAAGGGCUUAGAUAAUAAAAGGCUUGGUUUCAACUCAUUCUUUUCAACAAACUAAAGGAGGACAUCAUCAGAUUGUCAGAUGAUAGACUGCUGGAGCUAAGUCUUUUAAGGUGAUUUACUAUGCAGUGUUUCAAUAAAUAACUCAGUUUAUCACAGUUCAGUUCAAAACGUGUUUGCUGGAUACCCACUGUGUUCAAAAUUAUAACACUGGGAAGAAAAUGGAAGUGAAUGAGAGGAACACAACUAAUUGGUUAAGCAAGACACAGACAAUGAUAUCAACCAUAUGAGCAGUCGAGAACAAGAAAGAUACAAGGCAGAGUGGAGACAUCACUGGAUGUGCAUUAAAGCAAUUGUGCAAAAGAAGGAUUGGCCCAGUGAGAUAGGCAGUGAGGAAUCAAGAUUCUAGCUGGGUUUUGAAUAACUAGUAUGGUUUCCAUGGUUGAGACAGACGUUAGGAUUGAUGGAAAGGUAGUUUGAUGUAAAACUAACCUUCUUCGGAGUCCACUAAGAGCUUAAAAGUUGGCCUAUUUGCUCUUGGGCCCAAAACUAAAUUGAUAAACCAUAGUAACACAGAUUCAUACAAAUAACAUAUCAAUUUUUUUUGCUAGUUUAAAAGCAAAUAUGCUUUUGAAUACAAAGAUAGUUUAAAGAAUCAAGUUUAGGAGUUUCCAUUGUAGCUCAGUGGUAACAAACCCAACUAGUAUCCAUGAGGAUACAAGUUCGAUCCCUGGCCUUAUUCAGUGGGUUAAGGGUUGUACAUUGCUGUGGCUAUGGUGUAGGCCGGAGGCUGCUCUGAUUUGAUUCCUAGCCUGGGAACUUCCAUGUGCUGCAC